CCUACGGGAGGCAGCAGUAGGGAAUCUUUCACAAUGGGCGAAAGCCUGAUGGAGCAACGCCGCGUGCAGGAUGAAGGCCUUCGGGUUGUAAACUGCUUUUAUAAGCGAGAAAUAUGAUGGUAACUUAUGAAUAAGGAUCGGCUAACUACGUGCCAGCAGCCGCGGUCAUACGUAGGAUCCGAGCAUUAUCCGGGGUGACUGGGUGUAAAGAGUUGCGUAGGUGGCAUAAUAAGUAGCUAGUGGAAUCUGGUGGCUCAACCAUUCAGACUAUUAGCUAAACUGGUAAGCUCGAGACCGUUAGGGGUAACUAGAAUUGCUAGUGUAGGAGUGAAAUCCGUAGAUAUUAGGAGGAACACCAAUAGCGUAGGCAGGUUGCUGGGACGGUUCUGACACUAAGGCACGAAAGCGUAGGGAGCAAACGGGAUUAGAUACCCGGGUAGUC
rnacentral:rRNA from 1 species